rnacentral:misc_RNA from 1 species
GUUUUUUUUAUUUAUUAUCAAUCACUUCCACAAGACAAUUUGGAUUUAAAAAUGAGGCACAUAGGGGAGGAUGAUCCCCUACAAACAAGUGCACAAGAAGAGGGUGAAAAAAUCGAAAAAAAUGGUCAUGGAGUGCACGGUGGCGCCAAAAGCACCCAGCAACAUCCAAGUAUUGACCAGUAAAAAUUCGAUAAUGAUCCUUCCGCAGGUUCACCUACGGAAA